GGAAAUGAUGAUAGGUUUUGUCGCCCCAGUCUUAUUUGCAAACUAUUGUUGCAAGGUGGUGAUUGACAUUUUUAUCUGAUCC